rnacentral:misc_RNA from 1 species
GAUGAAGAACGUAGCGAAAUGCGAUACGUAAUGUGAUUUGCAAAUUCAGUGAAUCAUCGAGUCUUUGAACGCACAUUGCGCCCCCUGGUAUUCCGGGGGGCAUGCCUGUCCGAGCGUCAUUGCUGCCCUCAAGCACGGCUUGUGUGUUGGGCCCCGUCCUCCGAUUCCGGGGGACGGGCCCGAAAGGCAGCGGCGGCACCGCGUCCGGUCCUCGAGCGUAUGGGGCUUUGUCACCCGCUCUGUAGGCCCGGCCGGCGCUUGCCGAUCAACCCAAAUUUUUAUCCAGGUUGACCUCGGAUCAGGUAGGGAUACCCGCUGAACUUAAGCAUAUCAAUAAGCGGAGGA